CGCCGUUCAAAUUAAAUUUACCACGUAUCGAUCAUCUAGUUCGAGCUACAGAUCAUGUAGCACAAUGGUGCGCCACAGACGAGCCGGAUCCCAAAAGAUGACGCCGUAGAGGAUUCGAUCUCGUUGCCCCUUCUUCGAUGAUGCGAAAACCUUCUCCUAGCAACAGAAAGUUAGGAUCUUGAACACCACUCUCAGCGAUUUUCUCAUCCAGGUAUUUCUUUUCUGAUUUUGUCCAUUGCGGAUUAAUUAAAAUUGUUACACUUUCCUUGGGUUUGAUGUAAAUGAAGGAUGUGGAAAUCUGGGUUCUUGAAACUGAAAAUCGAUGUGAGUUGUAGUCUUGAAGAUCGAAAUCCGUUAUUGAUAAAAUGGGUUGAUUGGGGAUGAUUGAUACUGGGGAUGUAUGAAUUACUCUGUGGUAGUAAUGUGGGCUAUGAUUAUCUGCGGCAUUAUUUAUUUUUCCAAUUGAACUUGCAGCUGUGGUCUCUGAUUUUGAUUGUAAGAUUCAGCAACCUUUAGUCCUUCCAAUUGCUUUGAUUGGUGACAAAAAAUGUUGGGAUCAUUGUUUAGUUCUCACAAGAUAAGGACAUCUGAAAGCUUGCAAUGGGUGAUUCUUCAAAGUGUUUCUUCUCCCCUAUCAAAAGAUGUCAUUGGAUUUGGUCCUUUCAACUUGAAUACACAGAAGAGAUGGAAGAAACCAGUAGUUUCCGCUCGGACACGUUUAGAGGAUAGAACAAGGGAUCUUAGGCUUGACAAAUUGAUGAGCCAGCUCAAGAGAUUGAAGAUAGUACUGAAAUUGCAGGAAUUGAUUUUAAACCGUAGGGGUCCUUAUGUAUCUCUUCAACUGCUCUCAAGGUGGAAAAAUAUUGUUGGAUUGAAUGUAGGUCCUGGUGUUUUUAUUCAGAAAUACCCUCAUAUUUUUCAGAUAUUUACACACCCUUUGAAGAGAAACCUUUGUUGCAAACUAACUCCAAAGAUGCUCAAUCUGAUCAAGGAGGAAACUAAGGUGAUCAAGGAAUCAGAAUUGAUGGCUGUUCAGCGUUUAAAGAAGCUUCUUAUGAUGACGACAAAUGGGACAUUGCACAUCUAUGCUUUGAGGUUGGUAAGAAGAGAACUGGGGUUGCCUGAGGAUUUCAGAGAUUCUAUUCUCCUCAAGUAUCCAGAUGACUUCAGGUUAGUGGAUCUGGAGAUAGUAGCUUUGGUUUCUAGAAAUGAAAACUUGGCUGUAGCUGAGGUAGAAAAGUGGAGAGAGAAAGAGUACAGGGAAAAGUGGUUGAGUGAGUUUGAAACAAGAUAUGCCUUCCAAAUCAAUUUUCCGACUGGAUUUAAGAUUGAGAAAGGGUUUAGGGAGAAAUUAAAGAAUUGGCAAAGACUUCCCUACUUGAAGCCUUACGAGACAAAGGAUGUUGUUCGAAUCAAUACCUGUGGUGGGAUUGAGCGCUUUGAGAAACGUGCUGUUGGUAUUCUUCAUGAGUUAUUGUGUUUGACAAUAGAAAAGAUGGUUGAGCUAGAACGCUUAUCUCACUUCCGUAGAGAUUUUGGGAUCGAAAUUAAUGUCCGAGAGCUUCUUCUAAAACACCCAGGAAUUUUCUAUAUAUCUACUAAGGGGAGCAACCAAACUGUGUUUCUUAGGGAGGCAUAUUGCAAAGGGUGCUUGAUGGAACCAAAUCCUAUAUAUACAGUUCGGAGGGAAAUGCUUGACCUCCUCUUGCUAGGGUGCCGAAACACCAGGGAGUUGCAACCUCUGAAUGAGAUGAAGGACGGGCAUAACAAUAUGGUCUGUAAUGCAGUAGAGGAAGGUCCAAGAGAUGGAGAUUGGGUUAUUCCAAUCUUAGAGAGUUUCAAUGAUCAAAAACAUGGUGGGGAUUCCCAUGAUAUCAGCAAUACAUGUGAGGUGGAUCUCGAUGAGUUACAAUGAUGCUGCAUAAGUUGAGAGGUAAAUUAAAUUAUCUUCACAUUCGCAUUGUCAUCUGCAUGGAUAUGGAGAGGGUUGCCUUGAUUUAUGAUAAUCCAUCAUGGGUGCUGCUCAAAACAAAUUGUGUUCAUGAGGAACCAAUACCAAUUAUGGUCAUCUUAUGAGGCACCACAAAAGUGCCCGGAAGGGAUAAUGAGCAAGGGAACUUCACAUGCACUCAUGAGGUAAUAAUUUAGGUAUCAUUGAUGCACAAAGACCUAUUGCAAGAAAUGGUAGAGAUAGACUUGAAUUCAAUGUGCUUUCCUUUCAGAUUGGUUGAAUUUUCCCAAGAGUAACAAUAGAGACCACUAUCCAUUCUUAAGUAUCGAAGGAGCUUUUCAGGGGCAACAGAACCAUCUUCGAUCUAAUGGUGAAGAUAGUUCCUGACCUGUUUGGAUGGUUAGAUGUUGGGAGAGAUCCUGGAAUUGACUGGCUAAUUAUCUGGCUAAUUAUGUUGGGAACAGCUUGAUGGGCUUCUUCUACCCUGGAGGUCUUUCAAGGAAUCUCAAUUGACUACUUUUAGAUGUUGGGAGGUAAUAGCCUUUGGAGCUGUGGUUACCAACGUCUGGCUGGCAUUGGGGUGGAUUUAGAGAUUCUGAGGGUCAUAUGUUAUUAAUUUAUUAAGGCCGUCAGAAAGAAAAAUCUAUCAUGGCUGAGUUGAAAGCUGUUAUUGGAGGCUCAACCCAAAUUCUUUAGGCAUUAGAUGGAGAGCGCUUCUCAUGUGUAUGAAGACACCAAGGACCUGAACAAGCUGAUGUAGGAUAGUAACUUUAUUACUCCCAACAUCUCAACCUAGCUGAUGGUUGGUGCUCUGCAAUUAUUGAGGAAGCUCAGCUGAAUCUCAGCAAUAUGUUCAUCUCACCAGGAAAGCUAGAUUCUUGUUGUUCCUUGUAGAUUUCUAUUUUUGGAUUUUUGCAUGGAGGUUUAGGACAGCCAACACUUGGGUGAUGAGCUGGCUGGUGCGGGUGUUGGUCUUUGCAGAAAGAGAAUAUGAGACGACAUUUACCUAACUCUCUUGUAGCUUUGUACGUCGUUAAUCCUUUUCAAUGUUCAUUAGUAGAAUGUUAUAUUGCAAAGAAUCAUACGAUCACUGACCACCAUUUAGGUGAGUUGAUAAAUUCUGCUAGGGCUAUCUUACAAUUGUCGUGGGGGACCCUCAAUUGUGGUUGAAGCAUUAUACCCACACAAGUGUCUGUCCUAGGACCCUUCGUUUGUUCAAAAAGAGUGAAUUUUUUAGUUGAUCCCAAAAGAAUCCAUCAGAAGAUGGUGGCACCACUGGCUCCAUAAGAUUGAGAUGGAAUAGGAAAUUUAGACAAGUUCAUAGUCCAGUGCUCUAUCAAAUAUAUAUAGCUACAUAAACCUUCCUUUGGCAAUAUAGCUGCCCACCUGCAUACCCCUCUUUCUGCAUUCAAAAACAUAAAGAAAUAGAGAAAGCUUUCUUUGUAUCAGUUUAUUUUCUACGCUAAAAGAAACAA